AGUGAACGCUGGCGGUAGGCCUAACACAUGCAAGUCGAACGGCAGCACAGUAAGAGCUUGCUCUUACGGGUGGCGAGUGGCGGACGGGUGAGGAAUACAUCGGAAUCUACUUUUUCGUGGGGGAUAACGUAGGGAAACUUACGCUAAUACCGCAUACGACCUACGGGUGAAAGCAGGGGAUCUUCGGACCUUGCGCGAUUGAAUGAGCCGAUGUCGGAGUAGCUAGUUGGCGGGGUAAAGGCCCACCAAGGCGACGAUCCGUAGCUGGUCUGAGAGGAUGAUAAGCCACACUGGAACUGAGACACGGUCCAGACUCCUACGGGGGGCAGCAGUGGGGAAUAUUGGACAAUGGGCGCAAGCCUGAUCCAGCCAUACCGCGUGGGUGAAGAAGGCCUUCGGGUUGUAAAGACCUUUUGUUGGGAAAGAAAAGCAGCAGGUUAAUACCCCGCUGUUCUGACGGUACCCAAAGAAUAAGCACCGGCUAACUUCGUG
rnacentral:rRNA from 1 species